GAAAUGCGAUAAGUAAUGUGAAUUGCAGAAUUCCGUGAAUCAUCGAAUCUUUGAACGCACAUUGCGCCCUCUGGUAUUCCGGGGGGCAUGCCUGUCCGAGCGUCAUUGCGAACCCCUCAAGCACGGCUUGUGUGAUGGGCCUCUCGCGUCCUGGGAUCCCCCGGGACGGGUCCGAAUAGCAGUGGCGGCGACGCGGUUUAUCCGAUCAGCCAGAGCGUAUGGGGACUCUCCGUCACACGUCUCGCGGCGCGGACCGACGUCUGCCUAUUGAUCAAUCUUUUCUCGGUUGACCUCGGAUCAGGUAGGGAUACCCGCUGAACUUAAGCAUAUCAAUAAGCGGAGGACUGUCUCUUUAUACACAUCUCCCGAGCCCCACGAGA
rnacentral:misc_RNA from 1 species